rnacentral:tRNA from 1 species
UGCGGGUUGGAGCAGUGGUCAGCUCGCCAGGCUCAUAACCUGGAGGUCGCAGGUUCGAUCCCUGCACCCGCAA